GGGUUAAGUUCCGCAACGAGCGCAACCCUUGAUUWUAGUUKCCAGCACUUCGGGUGGGCACUUUAGAAUGACUKCYGGUGACAAACCGGAGGAAGGCGGGGAUGACGYCAAAUCAUCAUKCCCCUUAUGAYUUGGGCUACACACGUACUACAAUGGCUGGUACAACGGGAAGCGAAGCCGCGAGGUGGAGCCMAUCCUAUAAAAGCCAGUCUCAGUUCGGAUUGCAGGUUGCAAMUCGCCUGCAYGA
rnacentral:rRNA from 1 species